AGAAAAUAAUUGAUGAAUUAGACUUUAUUAAUGGCAAUCCACAUUCUGGUUGGCCACAUUUACAAGUCAGAAAAAAAGUGCUUGCCUCAGAAUAUGUAAAUAAUUAUUUUCAACUAAUAAUGGGAAUACAAACAUCUCAAUAAAAAUGAACAACAUAAUUGAAGAAACAUUUUACAUAACCUGAUAUAUGAAAGGUCAAGAAGCACUCUUGAUACUAAAAAUUUUAAAAAUAUUUCUGACAAAUUAUAACUAUCAUAUGUAAUAUGCAGUUCAAUAGAAGUACACUUAUUAUAAGUAUGAAGUAAUGAAAGAGGAGAGUUUCAGAAGUUCUUUAUUAAAAAACUGUGAUAAUUUCAGGAUUCUCUCAAUAAUAUAUCUAAAUUCAGAAGAUUCCUAAUUUUAAUAAACCAAUUUUUUAAAAAUAUUAGAAGUUUAUAGAACUGCAUUUUUAAAAGGUAGUGUUUGGUUUUUUUAUUUGCCUUUUACAGGAGAAAUAGUGAUACUCGAAACAUAAGGAUCGAAAGUAUGAUUGCAAUAUACAGAACAUAAUUCACAUAGUGAAAAGUGAGAAUUGACUAUUUCUGAAAUUAAAUGAGCAUAUUCAGAGUUCUUAUUCUUAUGGGAAUGCAAAUAACCCAAAAAAUUAUAAUUGAUAUUUUAUCCAUAUUGUAUCUUACUAACUUCUGACUUACACUUUCUUUAAAAGACACACACACACACACACACACAAUAUUUUGUAAAACUUUUUAGAUAAGUGAACUACAUUGGAGGCAUAGUUUUACAUACACACACACACAUACACACACACACACAUAUAUAUAUACUACAUGAGAAUUGAGGUAGCAUACAUUGUUUUAAAUCACUAUUGUAUGAAGUUAAUACUAUUUUUGCACAUUGAUCAUGAAUUUUUUAUUCCAACAAUGAAGAGAAUUUUUUUUGUAUUGAAACAAAAUUAAAUAUCUAAAAAAUGCUUAAGUUUAGCCAUAGAGUAAUCAAAAUGUAUAUUAUCUUAAGAAAUACUUUCAGAAAAAAAAUUAAAAGGACUUGCAAAUGAAAAAAGUAUAUUGUAACUAUUUCUGCUAAUAAUUUAAUUAUAGCUUUUUAAAUUGUACAUUCAAUAACAGUGGUCAAACUGAACUUGCUUUUAUGAUGCCUAGAAUAAAAACUAUUCUUCAAAGUUUUUCUAAAUUAACAAAUCUUAUUAUAUUGUCUAUUUGAUCCUGAAAUAAAUUUUGGUUUUAUAUAUAUAUAUAUAUAUAUAUAUAUAUAUUUAUAUUCAGAAAAGAAAACUUUUUCCCUGCAUUCCUCUACAUGAGAAAUUGUUUUUUGUAAACAAUCCUCACUGUUAACAUGUGUCUGAUGGCCCACAGAGCUGCAGUGAGUUAACAGAAAGGCAUAGUGUAGGAAAGAGGCUGCCCAUGAAAACUCCACCUCUUACUCUUCCUCCUUUUGUGGAUGUGCUUGUCAGGAGAUCACAGGCUUUGUUCUGCUCCUCACUGCCUUAGAGCUGAGAGAGACAAGAGUACUAGCGGAGGAACUCACAGGUUUCCUGGCUACUAUGACUGGUUGGAUAACGCUAUAUAAUUCAGGAGAUGCGGAUAAGGGCACAUUUAAAAUUUCUAUAAAUAUUUUGUUAUAACAUUUAAUACAUUUUUAAUGAAUAUUUUGGUCUCUAUGUUCCUUAGUGUUUUGUCUUUUAAAAUUGAUCCAGAACACAGUUUUGUUGCAUUAUAGUAAACUCUCUUUCUCCCCCUAAUUAAAGCCCACCAAUUUUAAAGUCAUUAUUUUUUGUCAUAUUCACUUAUAUUUUGUAUUUUGUAUUCAGUACACAGAUACACUUUAAUUUUAGUAUUUGUCAUAUAUUGAAUUAUAAUAAAGGUAUUACAAAAAUGGUCAUUAAAUAUAUUCCAUAGCUAGAAAUCAAUAUUUCCCAGAAGUGCAGUCUUUUUCAAGAUUGAUUCUUUCAAUUGAGUAGCUUAUUUUAGAUAUUCAAACAGUGAUGGAAUUUAGAUAUCAUUAUCCAAAAUAGAAGCAA
rnacentral:lncRNA from 10 species